AUACGGAGGAUCCGAGCGUUAUCCGGAUUUAUUGGGUUUAAAGGGAGCGUAGGUGGACAGUUAAGUCAGUUGUGAAAGUUUGCGGCUCAACCGUAAAAUUGCAGUUGAUACUGGCUGUCUUGAGUGCAGUAGAGGUGGGCGGAAUUCGUGGUGUAGCGGUGAAAUGCUUAGAUAUCACGAAGAACUCCGAUUGCGAAGGCAGCUCACUGGACUGCAACUGACACUGAUGCUCGAAAGUGUGGGUAUCAAACAGGAUUAGAUACCCUGGUAGUCCACACAGUAAACGAUGAAUACUCGCUGUUUGCGAUAUACAGUAAGCGGCCAAGCGAAAGCAUUAAGUAUUCCACCUGGGGAGUACGCCGGCAACGGUGAAACUCAAAGGAAUUGGCGGGG
rnacentral:rRNA from 1 species